rnacentral:rRNA from 1 species
GACGGAGGAUGCAAGUGUUAUCCGGAAUCACUGGGCGUAAAGCGUCUGUAGGUGGUUAAAUAAGUCAACUGUUAAAUCUUGAGGCUCAACUUCAAAAUCGCAGUCGAAACUAUUAGACUAGAGUAUAGUAGGGGUAAAGGGAAUUUCCAGUGGAGCGGUGAAAUGCGUAGAGAUUGGAAAGAACACCAAUGGCGAAAGCACUUUACUGGGCUAUUACUGACACUGAGAGACGAAAGCUAGGGUAGCAAACGGG